rnacentral:rRNA from 1 species
GUCAUACGCUCGUCUCAAAGAUUAAGCCAUGCAUGUGUAAGUAUAAAUAGUUAACUUUGAAACUGCGAAUGGCUCAUUAUAUCAGUUAUAGUUUAUUUGAUGAAGAAUACUAAUUGGAUAACCGUAGUAAUUCUAGAGCUAAUACAUGUAUAAAGUCUUGUAGACUGCAUUUAUUAGAAUGAAAACCAUAGGUUUCGGCCUAUUCGUGAGUAAUAAUAACUAAUCAUAUCGUAUGCUUAUGUAACGAUGUGUCUUUCAAGUUUCUGCCCUAUCAGCUUUCGAUGGUAGUG